rnacentral:lncRNA from 1 species
CGCAUCAUUAUCAAGAAGGUAAAAUAACCGCAAGGCUUAAGAGGAGGGGUGAGAAAAAGUCGUAUAAAAGGCGAGAGAAAAGUCGAUACAGGGAACAGUCGUGUGAGCAUGUCCGACACGGCAACAACUGCAGUGUACUUUUGCCAUCAGCUCUCAGCUAUAUCUGCCAUCAUCAGUUCUUAAUCAUGGUUGUAUUUAAGGAGAAAGAAAAGGCGAAAUAUGCAAGAGUUGCAGUGCGCCAUUCAUCACCAACUGCAUUCUUCGUCGCUUUACCAGUUUCAAUCAUGGUCGUUUAAAGGGAGAGAAAAGGCGGUAGAAUUCAUUCGUAUCUCCGACAUGGGAGCAGCAAAUGCAGUGCACUAUUCUACACCAACUGCAUUCUUCGUCGAAUUGCUAGUUUUAAAUCAUGGGUAAACAUUUUUACCUGGAGUUGUGAAUCAACUUUCGUAUUAUAUUUUAAACUUUGGCGUCGCCUGCUGCUGUUGGGUGUUGUAUAGUUGACGGCUGGUUCAGCCAUGGUGUACCAAUGUCUCCUGGGUAUGGCGGAUAACAAAUCGCAACGCCGCCACCUUACUACACAACAUACGACACGACCAGUUGCUACACCAAGGCCCCCAAGUACUACACCACCAAGGCUCCACAUUAUUGUACCACAACUUAUGCUGUCUGAGCUACUACACCGAAGCCCCGAAGUAUUAUUCUUCCCCGAGCUACACUACCAGAGGUUCGAUACUACACCGAUGCUCCGAGGUACUGCACCACCACGGCACCGGUGUACUGCACCACCAAGGCACCGGAGUACUGCACUACUACAUAUCAUGGUCGUAUGAAAGGAGAGAAAAGGUGAAAGAAUUCAGCAGCCGAGUGAGCAUUUCCGUUACAGCAACAGGAUCUGCCGUGCACUAUUUGUCAUCAACUUCAUUCUUCGUGGCGUUAAAGUGUUAAAUAAAGUUAACUAUGGUGGCGUGCUGCUGUUGGUUGUUGUAUCGUUGAUGGCUGGGUCGACCACUGGUGUGCCGAUUUCUCCUGGGUAUGGCGGGCAUGAAUAACAACAUACGCAACAACCGGUCACUACACUGAGGCCCCUAAGUGCUACACCACCAAGGCUUCAGAUUAUUACACCAAAGUUUAUGUUGGUCCGGGCUAUUCGCAGAAGCUCCGAAGUAUUUUUCUUCCCCAAGCUUCGCUACCUUCACCACGCCGCCUCCUUCCUAAAUAAUAACGUCAACACUUUUUUACUAUACGAAGGCCUUCAAGUACUACGCCACGAAGGCUUCUGACUACUAUUCCGAGGAUCUAACUUGUUACAUCAUCGAAGUUCUCAAGUACUGCACUACCCCCUACGUUGCCCCAGUUUACACCACGCAGGCACCGGAGUACUACACCACGCAGGCACCGGAGUACUACACCACGCAGGCACCGGAGUACUACACGUUAAACCGAGGCUUCAGUUUACUACACUACAACCUUCGCUGCUUUAAACAACCACAUUGAUGCUCCAAAGUACUACACCAACAAGGCAUCGGAGCAUACACUACCACUACCACUACUUACGCUACCGCCACCUGCUAAACCGAAGGUCCGAAAGCAGUACUCUGGCCCGAGUUACUACAUCACUUAGGCAGCCGAACACCAUAAACUACGAUUCCGCAAUUAUCUACAAGGAAUUUCCUAAAUAAUAGAGCCGAAAUUUCUACUUCAGAUUAUUUAUAUUUGUCGGUUAUUUCCAUGGCCAAUGGUCACUGGGAAUUAAUCGUUGAUCUUUAAUGAGGAAAUAAAAGUUUUAAUGCGGGUAA